GGGCGAUUGGUUUAGUGGUAUAAUACCUCUUUGUAUUAGAGGUGGUCCAGGGUUCGAUUCCCUGAUCGUCCA